AACGUAGGAGACAAACGUUAUCCGGAGUUACUGGGCGUAAAGGGCGUGUAGGUGGUUUAGUAAGUCUGGCGUGAAAUUUUUCGGCUUAACCGGGAAAGGUCGUCGGAUACUGCUGAGCUAGAGGACGGUAGAGGCGUGUGGAAUUCCGGGUGUAGUGGUGAAAUGCGUAGAGAUCCGGAGGAACACCAGUGGCGAAGGCGACACGCUGGGCCGUACCUGACACUAAAACGCGACAGCAUGGGGAGCGAACGGG
rnacentral:rRNA from 1 species